rnacentral:rRNA from 1 species
GGGUCAGUAGGUUGGUCGUGCCACCGGUACGUACUGGUCUCACUGACUCCUCCUUCCUGAAGAACCGUAAUGCCAUUAAUUUGGUGUUGCGGGGAAACAGGACUGUUACUUUGAAAAAAUUAGAGUGUUUAAAGCAAGCUAACGCUUGAAUACAUUAGCAUGGAACAAUGAAAUAGGACGAUCGAUCCUAUUUUGUUGGUUUCUAGGAUUGACGUA